CCGCCCCCGCCUGUCACUUGUGCACACGCACACACAUUGCCAGUACUGCUCAAAAGCUGCCGGCUCUGAGAACUCCCAAGGGACUGCACGGGCCACUUGAGUAGCUCGCUAAUGGGCCUACUUCCUUCCUCGGAGAAAUGGUCCAGGAAACGUUUUUGGAGUGAAAUUUCAGGAUUGGUUUAACUUCAAUAAAAUACAACAGAGAUGAAGUGGUAGGGCUUGGGGGACUUCCUCUGACUCUGCUUGUUGGGGGAGCUCCUCCAGUGUCUGAGUCUGGGAAGAGAUCCUUCCAUGAGGUUCUCAGGAGCUAUCAAGCAAGCCUUGGUCUUUGGUCCUAAGUCGUUAACCAAAAGACACUGUCAAGGAGGCCAACACACUGAAGAGUGCAUUUCUGCAGGUGCAAAGAACAAUCCAUUGGACAGACAUGAGUCAGUUUGUCUGGUGAGUCUCAUUUUCCUAGAGGAGACAAGCAGUCAUGACUAUGUUUCUAGACUCGAUCAGCUGUCUUCACUGGCUCCAUUCCUUUCUCAGUGGAUAGCAUUGCCGUCCUCUUAGGUAUCACUGCCUCCUAAAUCCUCCUGCAUUAAAUCUUCAUUGGAACAAGAUGGGAAGAUAAACAAUCGAAUGAAAUCAAUACCCACUGUCCGCCCAUGUAUCACUGGUCACUCACACUCUCCCUUGAAUCUGCCUUCUCCUCUCCUCUCCUCUCCAAGUGCAUUAGAGACACCCCAAGGACCUCAUUUGUGCUAUGCUACCUCAGGCAGAAUUAGCUUUUUUGUUCUCUUUUACUUUGCAGAGAGGAGUUGCAAGACAAUGAUCUCAAAUCUUGUAGGAAGGCGACUUUGGAACCUCAUGUGCAGAGGGCAGGGGAGCCCUAAAAACCUCCCUGAACCUUCAGGAGGUGUUACGUACCCCAGGAGCUUGGAAUGGAGAGUCAGGAAUCUGUAACCACUGUGUUGCUCUUCAAGAACAAAGCACUUGUCGGUUUACCACUCUGGGAAGAUUGCCAGGCUCAAGUAUUAAUAAUAAUCUCUUUGUUUUUUAAAUGCCUUAUAAUUGCAUAAAUAAAGCUUACUUUCUCUUCUUUAAUGGUAAUGAG
rnacentral:lncRNA from 1 species